AUCGGGGAGGCCCGCUCAGCAGCGGCCGGGUCUGGAGUGGCCGCGGGUGGGAGGGCGCCGAGACCUCCGCACCCCUCAGCCCAGCCCCCAGGCCCCGCGCGCACGCACGCACGCACGCACGCCCUCCCGGUCAAUGGGGGGUCCUGGAAGCCCCUCGGGCCCCCGGGCCCGGCCAGGCGCUUGCUGGUCUGGUGUUGGCGGUGUUCGGGGGGGCGGGCCGGCGUCAGCAGGCUGGAGUCCGGUCGCGGGUCGUGCGGCUCAAGUACAGCACGCCCCGCGACGAGAGGUGCGGCCCGUUGGCCCGACCUGCAGGGCAGAGCGAAAGGGAGGCGAAGCGCAAGGCUCUUAGGGCGCCCCGAGCCCACCGCCACCGUCUCAGGCCGUAUCAGCCUGAAGGCGCCCGAUCUCGUCUGAUCUCGGAAGCUAAGCAGGGUCGGGCCUGGUUAGGAUCUUGGAUGGGAGACCACCUGGGAAUCCCGGGUGCUCGAGGCUUUUUGCCUACCAGAAGAGGUCCUUUAGCCCCCGCCGCGCGUCCCGAUUCUUGGAUCCCCCGCAGCCCCAGCCCCUCCCGGGCCCGGGGGGGCGGGUGGCCGGGGCCCCGACUCCCGCUGCAGACCUGGGUUGCCUCCGCGCGGCCCGCGAGCCCCUCCGCAUUCGCAUUCGGCUUCCAGGACACCCGACGACCGGCAGUCCCGUCUCCAUCUGGGGCUCCUUUGGCUUGCCUCAGGCAAUCCCGGGGCUUGCACCGACUCCAGCCAGAGCCCCAGCCCCCGCCCCACCCCCUGCCUCGCAGGCCAUCGCGCAUGCGCAUGUGCGCACGCACGCACAGAUAGAUGUGCCCAAACGGGGCAUCUAUCUUGUUCACUUAUACCGUGGGUGGAUCUAUGCCUGGGAGUCGGACUGCUGGACCAUAGGCUACUUCCACUUUUAGUUCCUUCGGGAACCUCCAUAUUCUUUUCCAUACCGGCUCUCCCCACGCCCAUUCCUACUCACCGUGGAGGAGAGUCCCCUUUGCUCCACAUCUUCUCCAGCAUUGGUUAUUGACAGACAUCGCAGUGAGGCCCAAUCGGACUCAUGUGAAGUGGUCCCUCCUUGGAGUUUGGAGUUGAGCCUCUCCAAUCAUUAGUGAUGUGGAGCAAGAUGACCUUUUGGAAAUGCAGAUGCAAUGCUGUCACCUCCCUGCUCCAACGGCUCUCGUAUUUUCCCAGCAUAUUGAAGAUACGACCACCUCCCUUCAGGCUUGCUCCUCACGUUCUUCUCUGAUGUCUUUUGCCUGGAAUGCCCUCUGCACUCUUUGGCUUCCAUCCCAUAGGGCAUUUUUCGUUUCUUGAAUGUCCUAAGUGUUCCUGGUCACAUAGCCUUCCAAGAUGCUAUUUUCCCGGCCUGAAAUUCUUCCUGCAUCUCAACCCUGGUUUACCUAGGUUCAACCUAUGGACCUCAACGAAAUGGUUCCUCUGGAGAGCCUUCCCUGACACCCAGGUUUUGUGGUGAGGGAAGAGGCCCCUCUAUAGGUUCUCAAAGGAUCUGCCUGUGAUGUAUCAUUAGAGUCGUCUCAGUGAAAGCAGGAACUCUGUGUCUUCUUCUCUCUGCCUUCUAUUCGUGAAACUUAUUACAUGCCUCCUAGCUCAUCGUAGGUGCUCAGUAUUUACUUAGUGUGUGAAAGACAGAAAAGCUCUUGGAAGCCUCAAGGGGUCACUUGGCUCGGCACUUUGAUCUCUUUGUAUAUUUGGCGAUUCAAUUCUUUCCUUUCCUGGGUUGAUGUGUACACUAUAUUCGAGGCACAAUCUAAGGCAUGAAGACAUAUCCAUACAUAGAGGUUCUUGCUUUCAAGGAACUCGUACAGCAGGUUUCUAUGUUAGGCUUUUCAAAUGCUCUAGAAGAAUGUGAACGUUCAGUAUGCUCCAUUUUCAUUUCAAAGAAAGAUCGUUUGACUUCCAUAGCAAAGGUGGAGACCUUCCAACGUUGAGUCCAAUACUUAUACCUUGACCAUUUCAGGCAAGUCUUGUGGUUCCUUCUGGAGGUGUGCGGCUCUUGCAGAAAUGUGAAGAUCUUCCAUCGCGGCGAGAGUGCGGCCCGUUGGCCCGACCUGCAGGGCAGAGCGAAAGGGAGGCGAAGCGCAAGGCUCUUAGGGCGCCCCGAGCCCACCGCCACCGUCUCAGGCCGUAUCAGCCUGAAGGCGCCCGAUCUCGUCUGAUCUCGGAAGCUAAGCAGGGUC
ensembl:lncRNA